UACGAAGGGUGCAAACGUUGCUCGGAAUUAUUGGGCGUAAAGAGCGCGCAGGCGGCUUGGCAAGUCGGGUGUGAAAUCCCGGGGCUCAACCCCGGGACUGCAUUCGAUACUGUCAGGCUAGAGGUAGGUAGGGGAGAUCGGAAUUCCUGGUGUAGCGGUGAAAUGCGCAGAUAUCAGGAGGAACACCGGUGGCGAAGGCGGAUCUCUGGGCCUUACCUGACGCUCAGGCGCGAAAGCUAGGGGAGCGAACAGG
rnacentral:rRNA from 1 species